AUCCUGGCUCAGAUUGAACGCUGGCGGCAUGCUUUACACAUGCAAGUCGAACGGUAACAGGUUAAGCUGACGAGUGGCGAACGGGUGAGUAAUGCAUCGGAACGUGCCCAGUCGUGGGGGAUAACGCAGCGAAAGCUGUGCUAAUACCGCAUACGAUCUAUGGAUGAAAGCGGGGGACCGUAAGGCCUCGCGCGAUUGGAGCGGCCGAUGUCAGAUUAGCUAGUUGGUGGGGUAAAGGCCCACCAAGGCGACGAUCUGUAGCUGGUCUGAGAGGACGACCAGCCACACUGGAACUGAGACACGGUCCAGACUCCUACGGGAGGCAGCAGUGGGGAAUUUUGGACAAUGGACGCAAGUCUGAUCCAGCCAUGCCGCGUGCAGGAAGAAGCAUCUAUGGUGUGUAAACUGCUUUUGUACGGGAAGAAACACUCCUACGUGUAGGAGCUUGACGGUACCGUAAGAAUAAGGAUCGGCUAACUCCGUG
rnacentral:rRNA from 1 species